AGAGUUUGAUCCUGGCUCAGAGCGAACGCUGGCGGCGUGCCUAACACAUGCAAGUCGAACGUGAACGGGGGCAACCCUUAGUAAAGUGGCGUACGGGUGAGUAACGCGUAGGUAAUCUACCCUAGAAUCUGGAAUAACCUGCCGAAAGGCGGGCUAAUACUGGAUAGAGCGAGGAAUCCGUAAUAGGGUUUUUCGGGAAAGGGGGCUCGCAAGAGCUCUUGUUCUAGGAUGAGCCUGCGUCUCAUUAGCUAGUUGGUGGGGUAAAGGCCCACCAAGGCUUUGAUGGGUAGCUGGUCUGAGAGGAUGAUCAGCCACACUGGAACUGAAACACGGUCCAGACUCCUACGGGAGGCAGCAGUGGGGAAUCUUGCGCAAUGGACGAAAGUCUAAAGGGCAGCCACGCCGCGUGAGUGAAGAAGGCCUU
rnacentral:rRNA from 1 species